rnacentral:tRNA from 1 species
GUGGGUGUAGCUCAGCUGGUAGAGCGUCGCGUUGUGGUCGCGAAUGUCGCGGGUUCAAGUCCCGUCACUCACC